CGCUCUUCCCAUCUAGGUUACCAGAAAUUCUUGGACUUUGUUUUCCAGAGAAACUUACAAUAUAAUAGACAAAGGAGGCUAAUUCCACGCCACCAUAGGUCUUCAGUCAUUUU